rnacentral:lncRNA from 1 species
GAAGCACCCAGUGCCAUAUUUCCGUGACUUGGGUGUUGCCCCCACAGCUGAAGCCCAUCCCUCCUCCCAGCAUCCCCAGCUGCAGCCCACUCCUGCCUCCGCAGCAAUCACUCCCACACCAUGGCCAUGCAGAAGGAGGUGGUGGAGACACAGUGCUACCACACCAGGCUGUGUCUGUCCUCUCCUGCAGAUGCUUUCCUCACCUAAUAUGUUCAAGGAAUAACCCAUAAUAUGGAGAAAACCAAACCCGAGAAAAGAAAACAAUGAAAUGGGCAAAGGUAUAAUAAUCAAUUCAUCACAUUUGAGUUUGCUGCAGAGAACUGAUGUCAGUUUUUGUGCAGAUACUUCAGGUCUGACUCCAGAUCACUUAGUAAACACUGCAUAUUUCAGGAAUUACCUCAGCAUAACACAUCUUACUUUUUGUUUGAAACUGGUAAGAGUGGAAGGAUUUGAUUUAUCUUACAGAGGCCAUUAA